rnacentral:rRNA from 1 species
CCUACGGGUGGCAGCAGUGGGGAAUAUUGCACAAUGGGGGGAACCCUGAUGCAGCAACGCCGCGUGGGUGAAGAAGUACUCCGGUAUGUAAAGCCCUGUCAGCAGGGAAGAAAAUGACGGUACCUGACCAAGAAGCCCCGGCUAACUACGUGCCAGCAGCCGCGGUAAUACGUAGGGGGCAAGCGUUAUCCGGAUUUACUGGGUGUAAAGGGAGCGUAGACGGCAAGGCAAGUCUGGAGUGAAAGCCCGGGGCCCAACCCCGGGACUGCUUUGGAAACUGUGUGGCUGGAGUGCAGGAGGGGUAAGCGGAAUUCCUAGUGUAGCGGUGAAAUGCGUAGAUAUUAGGAGGAACACCGGUGGCGAAGGCGGCUUACUGGACUGUAACUGACGUUGAGGCUCGAAGGCGUGGGGAGCAAACAGGAUUAGAUACCCUUGUAGUC